rnacentral:sRNA from 1 species
AAAAUACACAAAAUACAAUUUUUUUUGUUUGACAUUUUAAAAUGGCUUCCCAGUUUGCUCACCUGGGAAUGCCACUACCACCACAGUUAAAUGAUUUAUAAUAACGUUGGGUUUCCAUAAUGGAAACCCCUACCCUACACUCCUACUCAUGGCCACAUUUGUUUAAUCGUUUCUUUAACAUGGCAUCCCCUACUUAUGGCGGAAUUUGUUUAAUCGUUUCUUAAACAUGCAAUACUGCUAGCUUCCAAUAGCCCGCUAUCAAAUGCUACACUAAACUACCGCACCUAUUGCGGUACCAAGUCUAGGAUAUUCGGUGUCUUCCACAGAGACGACUACAUCUUCAUUUGCGGCUGGACCGCAAUGAUAGAGGAUACAAUACAACUUUAAUGAAAUGAGCCCAAGUUCUUGUUAUCAAUAAAUAAAAUAGCAUUUA